rnacentral:rRNA from 1 species
UAGAGGAAGUAAAAGUCGUAACAAGGUCUCCGUUGGUGAACCAGCGGAGGGAUCAUUGCUGGAACUGUGUCCGCAAGGACACAACCCCAGAUACCCUUUGUGAACUUAUUCUUAUAUCGUUGCCUCGGCGCUGAGCUGGGGGCUUCUUUCCAAGGAGCUCUCCCAUAGUCUCUCGGGACGAUGGAGCAAGCCCGCCGGCGGCCCUUCUAAACUCUUGUUUUUAUUACGUAUCUCUUCUGAGUUAUUCAAAACAAAAUGAAUCAAAACUUUCAACAACGGAUCUCUUGGUUCUGGCAUCGAUGAAGAACGCAGCGAAAUGCGAUAAGUAAUGUGAAUUGCAGAAUUCAGUGAAUCAUCGAAUCUUUGAACGCACAUUGCGCCCGCUGGAAUUCCAGCGGGCAUGCCUGUUCGAGCGUCAUUUCACCCCUCAAGCCUUGCUUGGUGUUGGAGCACUACCGUUUGUAUAAAGCGGUAGGCUCUGAAAUUCAGUGGCGGGCUCGCUAAGACUCUGAGCGUAGUAGUUUAUCACCUCGCUUUGGAAGGAUUAGCGGUGCUCUUGCCGUAAAACCCCCCAA